CCCCCCCCACCCCCCGCCACCGGUCCAGGUGCCACCGCUGCAGUUUGAGAAGGCAUCACAGGGGUCAGACGGAUCGGUGCUCUCGCUGUUCUGGGACGCGAUUGCGCGCAUGCAAGAAGCGCAUGCAAGCUUGGAUGAGCACAUUUCGAGAUGGUUCGGGCUGGACCAGUCCAAGUACCAGUGGGCGCUCAAAGAAUACUACGAAAGCACCGGACAGGAGAUUGGCAAAGCUUGCAAUCCGAAGGAGCACAGUUGUAAAACAUAGGAAGUAUAAAUAAGAAAAUUCUUUCUGGAUUUUAUGUGUGUAACUGAGCUGGUGCUGUACGCAUGUAAUGUUCGAUUUGGAAUAUAUUUUGUUGUUGAGGCCUCUUUUGCUGCAUCAUGUAGGAUUCACCUGAAGAACCAUGUUCUUGGUUGUAACAAUUCCUUUGUGCCGUUACUGUAGUUCCGUUGUUUACAGUGCUUCGAACUCGAUACAUUAGAUGCUCUGGUGUAUGGAAUGAAUUUACCAACGAAUUAAACCUUUAA